AUUGAACGCUGGCGGCAGGCUUAACACAUGCAAGUCGAGCGGGGUGAUGGUGCUUGCACUAUCACUUAGCGGCGGACGGGUGAGUAAUGCUUAGGAAUCUGCCUAUUAGUGGGGGACAACAUCUCGAAAGGGAUGCUAAUACCGCAUACGUCCUACGGGAGAAAGCAGGGGAUCACUUGUGACCUUGCGCUAAUAGAUGAGCCUAAGUCGGAUUAGCUAGUUGGUGGGGUAAAGGCCUACCAAGGCGACGAUCUGUAGCGGGUCUGAGAGGAUGUACCGCCACACGGGGACUGCGACACGGCCCAGACUCCUACGGGAUGCAGCAGUGGGGAAUAUUGGACAAUGGGGGGGACCCUGAUCCAUCCAUGCCGCGUGUGUGAAGAAGGCCUUAUGGUUGUAAAGCACUUUAAGCGAGGAGGAGGCUCUUUUGGUUAAUACCCACGAUGAGUGUACGUUACUCGCAGAAUAAGCACCGGCUAAGUCUGUGCCAGCAGCCGCAGUAA
rnacentral:rRNA from 1 species